rnacentral:lncRNA from 1 species
CUAACGUGCCGCGAGAGCCAGAAACGCCAGCAUUUUUGUGAGAAGAGCACGCGCAUGCCUUCAUUAAAAUUGCAGGAUGAGGACGUAUGUACGAAAUACUGAGCGGGGAAAAAUAUCUACAGAUAUUUCUGAACAAGCGGCAGCUAAAAGACUUUGGAUUAUUAUUGUUCGUAUCUGUUUAAACUGCUGAUUUGUAAGGUUUGCAUAUGAAUCAAAAACUCGCAAAUCAGCAGUUUUAACAGAUACGCCAGAGAAAAAUGCUUUGGCACUGGAAUAAGGUAAAAAAAAGGAAAAAAUAAAUUCAAGAAACGAAAGUCAGUCAAAGUGGGGAAAUCUACAGGAAAGAAGAUGGGACAGGAAAAUCAUCGUUACAUUUUAGAUUAUUAUGUUUUCUUUGUAAUAUAGACUGCUUUGUAUGUUUUGUUAUUUCAAUUAACAAAAAUAACUUACUAUGAUGAUUGUUGCUAAUAAAAACUCAUAUAAUA